rnacentral:misc_RNA from 1 species
AACUUUUAACAAUGGAUCUCUUGGCUCUCGCAUCGAUGAAGAACCCAACGAAAUGCGAUAAGUCAUGUGAAUUGCAGAAUUCAGUGAAUCAUCGAAUCUUUGAACGCACCUUGCACCCUUUGGCAUUCCGAAGGGUAUGCUCGUUUGAGUGUCAUUGUACUCUCACACUCCCGAUGCUUUUGGAUCGGGCGCGGUGGACUUGGGCGUUGCUGCUUUACUGUGGCUCGCCUCAAAUGGAGUAUUGCAACUCUUGGUUGGACAUAGUACGGCGUGAUAAGUGUCUUCGCCGGCGCCUCACUAGAGGGUGGCUGAUCGGGAGCUCUGUGCUUCAAACCGUCUUCGGACAACUCUGACAACUUGACCUCAAAUCGAGUAGGACUACCCGCUGAACUUAAGCAUAUCAAUAAGCGGAGGCU